CCCUUAGAUGUUCUGGGCUGCACGCGCGCUACACUGAAGCGUUCAACGAGUAUUCACCUUGCCCGGGAGGGUUGGGUAAUCUUUUCAAAACGCUUCGUGAUGGGGAUAGAUUAUUGCAAUUAUUAAUCUUCAACGAGGAAUUCCUAGUAAGCGCGAGUCAUCAGCUCGUGCUGAUUACGUCCCUGCCCUUUGUACACACCGCCCGUCGCACCUACCGAUUGAAUGGUUCGGUGAAGAUCUCGGACUUCGAUAUUUAUUCUUUAUUGAGUUUAUAUUGUGGGAAGUUAUCUAAACCUCAUCAUUUAGAGGAAGGUGAAGUCGUAACA
rnacentral:rRNA from 1 species